rnacentral:lncRNA from 1 species
GCCUAAUUUAUGUAUAAAAAAAAUGAAUAAAAACAAAUAUGUAACACAGCAACAAACGACAACCACUGAAUUAAAGACGCCUGACUUUGGACAGGCACAUACAUACAUACAGAAUGUGGCGAGGUUAAACAUGUUAGCGGGAUCCCAACCCUCCCCUUAACCUGGGACAGUGGUGCAACAUAAGAACGAACUAUACAAAUCAGUUGAAAAAGGCUUAACUCAUCAGAUGGAUACAAAUAGAAAUACAUCUAACAAAAACAGAGAGUGGACGUGACCGAGUACUUGUACAUCCCAUCAACAAAAAGACACUUAG